rnacentral:rRNA from 1 species
AGAUGUGGGGGUGCUUGAAAGAGAGCCGUAACACAGGGUGCUGCAUGGCUGUCGUCAGCUCGUGUCGUGAGAUGUUGGGUUAAGUCCCGCAACGAGCGCAACCCUUGUCCCUAGUUGCUACGCAAGGGCACUCUAGGGAGACUGCCGGUGACAAACCGGAGGAAGGUGGGGAUGACGUCAAGUCCUCAUGGCCCUUAUGGGUAGGGCUUCACACGUCAUACAAUGGCCGGUACAGAGGGUUGCCAAAGCGCGAGCUGGAGCCAAUCCCCAUAAAAGCCGGUCGUAGUCCGGAUUGCAGUCUGCAACUCGACUGCAUGAAGUCGGAAUCGCUAGUAAUCGCGGAUCAGCAUGUCGCGGUGAAUACGUUCCCGGGUCUUGUACACACCGCCCGUCACACCAUGGGAGCGGGAUGUACCAGAAGUAGGUAGGCUAACCGCAAGGGGGCCGCUUACCACGGUGCGUUUCGUGACUGGGGUGAAGUCGUAACAAGGUAGCCGUAA